rnacentral:siRNA from 1 species
UGGUGUUGACCUUACUUGACCCGG